AUGGCGUUCCAUGGCGGCGACAUUCGGCAGCGCGCCAACUCGGCCGCCGCGGCACCCAGCCGCCGGGCUCCGAGGAGUGCCGUCCGUGGGCAAGCAUCCGGCUCCGGCGGCCCCUUCGACAAUGGUGAUGAAGAAUUGGAGGAUGAUGUGGAGGAGUUAGCGAGCUCCGGAGGUCCCCUGGUGAGCCAAAGCAAUCGAGCCCAAUGGAGUGAUGCUAAUAGUGCUUGCUUGUUAGAAUUGUGCAUUGAGCAAUGUGCAGCAGGAACGUAUAAUGGUGUGGUGAUGAGUGCUGAAGGGUACCAAACUGUUAUCGAUGGCUUGCUUGCUAGAAGGGGGUUGGUGUAUUCUCGUGUGCAGGUGAAGAACCAGAUAGUUGUACUCAAAAACACGAGACACCCAUUGAUGUCGACUCUGAAUUCUGGAUUACACACAUAUAGAAGAAACCAUGCCUUAGGAAGUUGCAGUGGGGUCCUCCAGCAAACGAGGAGUUGCUUGAUCGACCAUUCAGAGGUUACACUGUGGAUGGAAGCACAGCAUUUGUGCCUGGAGAUGAUUAUGGUCAGAAUCAAGGGCAAGAUGCAGGGGCAGAAGAGGAAGAGGAGGAGUUUCAAGGAACACCUACAAGUACAAGCAACCAGAGGGGCCAAAGGGGCAAGAGGUCAUUAA
rnacentral:rRNA from 1 species